rnacentral:rRNA from 1 species
AUUGAACGCUGGCGGCAGGCCUAACACAUGCAAGUCGAACGAGUGGCGGACGGGAGAGUAAUGCAUGGGAAUCUGGCUUGUGGAGGGGGAUCACGACGGGAAACUGUCGCCAAUACCGCGUACCAUAGGAUGAGCCCAAGUGGGAUUAGGUAGUUGGAGGGGUAAGGGCAUACCAAGCCGACGAACCCUAGCUGGUCUGAGAGGAUGACCAGCCACACCGGGACUGAGACACGGCCCGGACUCCUACGGGAGGCAGCAGUGGGGAAUAUUGCGCAAUGGGGGCAACCCUGAUGCAGCCAUGCCGCGUGAGUGAAGAAGGCCUUCGGGUUGUAAAGUUCUUUCGGUGGCGAGGCGUUAACCACAGAAGAAGCACCGGCUAACUCCGUGCCAGCAGCCGCGGUAAUAC